CUUUCAGAACCAGAACCUGGAUGUGGGGUAUCUUCAAGAAACUUUGAGUUGGCCAUUAGCUAAGAACAACAUUCUAGAAGCGUUAAACACAUUGGAUGUUGGUAGAUUUAACCAUUUUUCACUUCAGAAUGAUUUAGAACCUGUUAUUGACUCCACAGUCGAUGUUGCUAUUUUCUUGGACCUCAUAACUUCACUCUCUGUUCAAACCGAUGCCUGGACUGGCCUUCCCACCCUGACCAUAGGGAACUGCUCAAGUGAUACAGACAACAUCUCUGUUUCUUUUUGGGCAGACGAAGCAUCAUUAUGAAAAAAAUACUGGAAGGUGUAUCAGGCCUUCUUAAAUGGACAGUGGCAAAUAUGUUGCAAAACCAA